rnacentral:rRNA from 1 species
GGAUUUACAAGCAGUCAAGGCUCCAUACGUGAGUCUUGGCGUGCCUAUUGAAGCAUGAGCCGGCGACUUAGACCUGUCUUGCAAGCUUAAGUCAAACGACGGAGGCGGAGCGAAAGCGAGUCCGAACAGGGCGAAUCAGUAAGACGGGCUAGACUCGAAACCAGGUGAGCUAAGCAUGACCAGGCUGAAACCCCCGUGACAGGGGGUGGAGGGCCGAACCGGUGCCUGCUGAAACAGUCUCGGAUGAGUUGUGUUUAGGAGUGAAAAGC